UAGUAAUAUUUGUUGCUUUCUUUUAAUGUCAUUAAAAAUACUUUAAUAGCACGACAGACUUUUGCGGAAACACACACAUCAACGGAUAUGAGCAAUAUUAUAAUCAAAAUGUUAAUUAUUUUGGUAAACCAAAAACUUCCAGGAAAAAAUAAUAUUAUCAUCCAAGUCAGUCGUCUCGACAUUCAGUCUUUUGCAAUCGUUAGUGUUUAGCAGUUGAACAAUUGAAAUCGAGGAAUUGCUGAGAGUCUGUAACUCCCGUAGGCUUCAGAAUUUUUAACAACUCUAAAACGCGUGACGCAACUUGAUUACACCACAUUUUGAUUUUUAUUUCAUAAUCAACUGUUGCAAACAUUCCAUAAUCGUGCGCAGGAUGUUUUCUGAAAAUAAUCUCGGCAAAGAUUAUUCCAGCAUAUCUAAACACGAACUAGGAUUGCAUGUUUGUAACAACGACAGAAAUAUUGACGAAAGUUUGCGAAAUUUGGCCGAAUAUUUUAUUCAUGUCUACAGUAUACAUUUCAUGACGUUUCAUCCACUUGUGAACAUAAGUAGAAUUGAAAAAUUCCAAGAUUUAUGUAACAAAGAUAUUGUAGGCAGACAUUUUUCAAUCAGUAACGUCAUAAAAAAAAUUAAUUUCUUUUCUGACAUGCAAGAUGCAAUUGCAGAUACUUUGGAGACAUUUUCAAAUUUCAGAAAGUACAGUCUACCGAUUUUUAUUAUUCUGGGUCUUUUAGGAAACUGUUUGUCCGCCAUUGUGCUAUUGCGUAAAAAGAUGCGUUUUUUCUCGUCCAACAUUUACUUGGGCGUAUUAGCAAUAAGCGACAUCAUCUAUUCGAUGAUAUUACUCAUUCAAUGUCUUAUCUUAAUGGAUAUAAAACCAAAAGAAAAUUA